rnacentral:rRNA from 1 species
UGUACCGGGGCUAAACAUAUUACCGAAGCUUUGGAUUGAUAUUUUAUCAAUGGUAGGAGAGCGUUCUUAACCGCGAAGAAGGUAUACCGUGAGGAGUGCUGGAGCGUUAAGAAGUGAGAAUGCCGGUAUGAGUAGCGCAAGAUAAGUGAGAAUCUUAUCCACCGUAAGACUAAGGUUUCCAGGGGAAGGCUCGUCCGCCCUGGGUUAGUCGGGACCUAAGGCGAGGCCGAAAGGCGUAGUCGAUGGACAACUGGUUGAUAUUCCAGUACUAGAUAUGAUCGUGAUGGAGGGACGCAGUAGGCUAAGAGAUGCCAGUUAAUGGAUUCUGGUCUAAGCAGUGAGGUGUGAGAUGUGUCAAAUGCAUUUCUCUCUAACAUUGAGCUGUGAUGGGGAAGCAACUACGGUUGCGAACUCUCUGAUGUCACACUGCCAAGAAAAGCUUCUAGCGUAAAGUCAUAUCUACCCGUACCGCAAACCGACACAGGUAGUCGAGGCGAGUAGCCUCAGGUGAUCGAGAGAACUCUCGUUAAGGAACUCGGCAAAAUAGCCCCGUAACUUCGGGAGAAGGGGUGCUGGUGUAAAAGCCAGCCGCAGUGAAUAGGCCCAAGCAACUGUUUAUCAAAAACACAGCUCUCUGCUAAACCGCAAGGUGAUGUAUAGGGGG